AACGAACGCUGGCGGCAUGCCUAACACAUGCAAGUCGAACGAGACCUUCGGGUCUAGUGGCGCACGGGUGCGUAACGCGUGGGAACCUGCCCUUAGGUUCGGAAUAACUCCCCGAAAGGGGUGCUAAUACCGGAUAAUGUCUUCGGACCAAAGAUUUAUCGCCUUUGGAUGGGCCCGCGUUGGAUUAGCUAGUUGGUAGGGUAAAAGCCUACCAAGGCGACGAUCCAUAGCUGGUCUGAGAGGAUGAUCAGCCACACUGGGACUGAGACACGGCCCAGACUCCUACGGGAGGCAGCAGUGGGGAAUAUUGGACAAUGGGCGAAAGCCUGAUCCAGCAAUGCCGCGGGAGUGAUGAAGGCCUUAGGGUGGUAAAGCUCUUUUACCCGGGAUGAUAAGGACAGGACCGGGAGAAUAAGCUCCGGCGAACUCCGG
rnacentral:rRNA from 1 species